CAGUCGCCACGGUAAUACGGAGGGAGCUAGCGUUGUUCGGAAUUAUUGGGCGUAAAGGGCUCGCAGGCGGUUUCUUAAGUCUGAUGUGAAAGCCCCCGGCUCAACCGGGGAGGGUCAUUGGAAACUGGGAAACUUGAGUGCAGAAGAGGAGAGUGGAAUUCCACGUGUAGCGGUGAAAUGCGUAGAGAUGUGGAGGAACACCAGUGGCGAAGGCGACUCUCUGGUCUGUAACUGACGCUGAGGAGCGAAAGCGUGGGGAGCAAACAGGAUUAGAUACCCGCGUAGUCCCUGUCUCUUAUAC
rnacentral:rRNA from 1 species